UGAGUGCAAUUGCCAUGUUGAUGUCAAC
rnacentral:piRNA from 1 species